AUUGAACGCUGGCGGCAGGCCUAACACAUGCAAGUCGAACGAGUGGCGGACGGGUGAGUAAUGUCUGGGAAACUGCCUGAUGGAGGGGGAUAACUACUGGAAACGGUAGCUAAUACCGCAUACCAUCAGAUGUGCCCAGAUGGGAUUAGCUAGUAGGUGGGGUAAUGGCUCACCUAGGCGACGAUCCGUACGUGGUUGGAGAGGAUGACCAGCCACACUGGGACUGUGACACGGUCCAGACUCCUACGGGAGGCAGCAGUGGUGAAUAUUGCACAAUGAGCGCAAGCCUGAUGCAGCCAUGCCGCGUGUAUGAAGAAGGCCUUCGGGUUGUAAAGCACUUUCAGCAGGGAUGCGUUACUCGCAGAAGAAGCACCGGCUAACUCCGUGCCAGCCGCCGCGGUAAUAC
rnacentral:rRNA from 1 species